UACGAAGGGUGCAAGCGUUACUCGGAAUUACUGGGCGUAAAGCGUGCGUAGGUGGUUUUUUAAGUCCGUUGUGAAAGCCCUGGGCUCAACCUGGGAAUGGCAGUGGAUACUGGAAAGCUGGAGUGCGGUAGAGGGUAGUGGAAUUCCCGGUGUAGCAGUGAAAUGCGUAGAGAUCGGGAGGAACACCAGUGGCGAAGGCGGCUACCUGGACCAGCACUGACACUGAGGCACGAAAGCGUGGGGAGCAAACAGG
rnacentral:rRNA from 1 species